rnacentral:rRNA from 1 species
GAUGAACGCUGGCGGCGUGCUUAACACAUGCAAGUCGAACGGAAAGGCCCAAGCUUUCUUGGGCACUCGUGUGGCGAACGGGUGAGUAACACGCGGGUGAACUGCCCUGCACUUCGGGAUAAGCCUUGGAAACUGGGUCUCAUACUGGAUAGGAUCACUUCUUGGAUGGUGUGGAGUAGAGAUUUUCCGGUGUGGGAUGAGGUCGCGGCGGAUCAGCUUGUUGGUGGGGUAGUGGCAUACCAAGGCGUCGACGGGUAGCCGGCCUGAUAGAGUGGACGGCCGCAUUAGAACUGUGAUACGGGCCAGACUCGUACGGGAGGCGGAAUGGGGGAAUAUUUCACAAUGGGAGCAAGCGUGAGGCAUGGAGGCCGCGUGAGGGAUGACGGCCGUCAGUUGGUAAGCACCAAUCUCUAAGGACGUAGGGAUGUUGUGACGGUACCUGGAGAAGAAGCACCGGCUAACUACGUG